UACACGACCGUACCGCAAACCGACACUGGUGCGCGAGAUGAGUAUUCUAAGGCGCUUGAGAGAACUCAGGAGAAGGAACUCGGCAAAUUGACACCGUAACUUCGGAAGAAGGUGUGCCUUUAGUAGGUGAAGGGAUUUACUCCUGGAGCCCAAUGAGGUUGCAAAAAAUCGGUGGCUGCGACUGUUUAUUAAAAACACAGCACUCUGCAAACACGAAAGUGGACGUAUAGGGUGUGACGCCUGCCCGGUGCUGGAAGAUUAAAUGAUGGGGUGCAAGCUCUUGAUUGAAGUCCCAGUAAACGGCGGCCGUAACUAUAACGGUCCUAAGGUAGCGAAAUUCCUUGUCGGGUAAGUUCCGACCUGCACGAAUGGCGUAACGAUGGCCACACUGUCUCCUCCUGAGACUCAGCGAAGUUGAAAUGUUUGUGAUGAUGCAAUCUCCCCGCGGAAAGACGGAAAGACCCCAUGAACCUUUACUGUAGCUUUGUAUUGGACUUUGAACAGAUCUGUGUAGGAUAGGUGGGAGGCUUUGAAGCAGGGUCGCUAGAUCUUGUGGAGCCAACGUUGAAAUACCACCCUGGUGUGUUUGAGGUUCUAACCUAGGCCCGUAAUCCGGGUUGGGGACAGUGCAUGGUAGGCAGUUUGACUGGGGCGGUCUCCUCCCAAAGUGUAACGGAGGAGUUCGAAGGUACGCUAGUUACGGUCGGACAUCGUGACGAUAGUGCAAUGGCAUAAGCGUGCUUAACUGCGAGACUGACAAGUCGAGCAGAUGCGAAAGCAGGACAUAGUGAUCCGGUGGUUCUGUAUGGAAGGGCCAUCGCUCAACGGAUAAAAGGUACUCUGGGGAUAACAGGCUGAUACCGCCCAAGAGUUCAUAUCGACGGCGGUGUUUGGCACCUCGAUGUCGGCUCAUCUCAUCCUGGGGCUGUAGCCGGUCCCAAGGGUAUGGCUUUUCGCCAUUUAAAGAGGUACGUGAGCUGGGUUUAAAACGUCGUGAGACAGUUUGGUCCCUAUCUUCCGUGGGCGCUGCAGAUUUGAGGAAGCCUGCUCCUAGUACGAGAGGACCGGAGUGGACGCACCUCUGGUGUAUCGGUUGUCACGCCAGUGGCAUUGCCGAGUAGCUAUGUGCGGAAGAGAUAACCGCUGAAAGCAUCUAAGCGGGAAACUCGUUUCAAGAUGAGAUCUGCCGGGGCCUUGAGCCCCCUGAAGAGUCGUUCAAGACCAGGACGUUGAUAGGUCGGGUGUGGAAGCGCAGUAAUGCGUUAAGCUAACCGAUACUAAUUGCUCGUGCGGCUUGACCCC
rnacentral:rRNA from 1 species